UUAUAUCUUGGGAUAGUGGGGAAAGUCUGGCAGGCAGCCUGUUCCCAUUGCGGGCUAUGGGUCUUAGCAGGCAGUAACCACCAGGAGUUUUGGGAUGAAAGCCAUCACCCCUCUACUACCCACUGCAGGGGGGGGUAUCAAGGAACGACAUCAGGCCUCAGUGCCUGGCCCGGGCAAGAUGGAGGGGAGCAAAACUUACCAUCAGCUUGCCAGCUUCUGGCAAGACAGCAGGUGAAACUGUAUAACAUGUACAGUUCAGCACAUGGCCAACCCAUUUUGUCAGCAGAUGUUGGUGGGGACUACAACUUUCCCCUCAUCAGUAAAUUGCUAUUACCAACUGAGAAGAAGAUGAGUAAGGUUUGACAAUACCAAAUCUGGGAUUGCCACCAUAGUCCACAUUGAAUCUAUGUUUCCCUUGGCACAGGAGCACUGCACAGCUUUCACAUAUGAAUGCACUCCUUGGCCGAUCCAGUUCCUGCUCCAAGGUACAACCCAGAGGAAGUAAGUCAUACUCUUUCUUUUCCCUUGUUCCCCAUUCUUUCACGAAGAGAGUCCAUGGCUCCUUAGAGGGACAAGAACAGGAUGUUCAAGGAUGCAAGUAUCCCUAAAGCACAGCAGACAAGAUUUCAGGAUUAACCCCACAGCAUGGAUGAGAGGAGAAUCUCCAGGGAAACAGGGAAAUUCUCAUUGUAAAGGGAGUGCU